GCGGGUUCUCCCGCCAGAGGAUACAUCAAAACUCCUGUUUUAACGGUGUUGUCUGAGCUACAAGCAACGAAUCAAAACUUUCAACAACGGAUCUCUUGGUUCUGGCAUCGAUGAAGAACGCAGCGAAAUGCGAUAAGUAGUGUGAAUUGCAGAAUUCAGUGAAUCAUCGAAUCUUUGAACGCACAUUGCGCCCCUUGGUAUCCCGAGGGGCAUGCCUGUUCGAGCGUCAUUUCACCACUCAAGCCUGGCUUGGUGUUGGGCGACGUCCCCUUUAGGGACGCGCCUUGAAACGCUCGGCGGCGUGGCACCGGCUUUAAGCGUAGCAGAAUCUUUCGCUUUGAAAGUCGGGGCCCCGUCUGCCGGAAGACCUACUCGCAAGGUUGACCUCGGAUCAGGCAGGGAUACCCGCUGAACUUAAGCAUAUCAAUAAGCCUUCCGGACUUUCGCCGUAUGGGGGCGGGGCGACCCGCGUCUUCAUAUACCUCUUCGUGUAGAAAGUCUUUGAAUGUUAUUACCAUCAUCGAGUCGCGACUUCUAGGAGACGCGAUUCUUUGAGACAAAAGUUAUUACAACUUUCAGCAACGGAUCUCUUGGCUCUCGCAUCGAUGAAGAACGCAGCGAAUCGCGAUAUGUAAUGUGAAUUGCAGAUCUACAGUGAAUCAUCGAAUCUUUGAACGCACCUUGCGCUCCUCGGUGUUCCGAGGAGCAUGCCUGUUUGAGUGUCAGUAAAUUCUCAACCCCUCUCGAUUUGCUUCGGUAGGGUGCUUGGAUGUUGGGGGCUGCCGGAGACACUGGACUCGUCCAGGACUCGGGCUCCUCUUAAAUGAAUCGGCUUGCGGUCGACUUUCUACUUUGCAUGACAAGGCCUUUGGCGUGAUAAUGAGCGCCGUUCGCCGAAAUGCAAGACAGAACGGUUCCGUGCCUCUAAUGCGUCGACGC
rnacentral:rRNA from 1 species